UCGCACAUCGUUCUGCGUUCGCUCUCCAAUCGGAGAUCUUUUGCAUCAUCGUCCAUCGUCCACCGAUUUUGUCUUCGCUAGUUUUUUCCUACUUGUCACCUUAUCUAUUUUGCAUAGUUUCCUAAUUUCUAUGCUCCUUUCUGCACGUACAAUUCUUUUUUCUUUUUUCUUAUUGGUUCUGCGAAUAAUGGAAUCUAAGUUUUUUUGUAAUAAUGUGCUUUAUAUAAAUGACGAAUAUCUUUUUAAAAAUCUAUCCGCUAAUACCAUGAAUUCGUAAGUGUGUACUAUUCGUUGCCACGUAUAUUGGUAUGCGAGCGAAUUGUCGAGUGUUUGGUGACGUGUUAAAAUGCGGCCAUUUCCACCGGCCAUGAACGAGAUAGAGAGCGUGCUGCGUGAGAUAGAGAGUGAGAGAGAAAAAGAGAGCAUAUGCGUGUGAGAGAAACAAAGAAAGAGCUUAAAAGACAUCGAUACUUUGAAUAAGUUAUAACUCCGAAUUUCGCAAGUUCAUCGUCAAACACAGCAUGUUUGCGAAAAAGAUAGAUUUACGGAUUUUCCGAUACUUUUCGUUCUGUUAUCAAAAUAUGCUUUCUUCAAUUCACUUCUUUUUCUUCUUCUUCUUCUUCUUCUUCUUCUUCUUCUUCUUCUUCAUUAUCAUCAUCAUCAUCUUUUUCUUCUUCUGCUUCUUUUAUCAUAUAGUUGAAGCAGCAUGAAUUCAAAGAUUGAAAAAAAGAACGAUUGCCGAUUGUCACCGUUCAGGUGCUCGAGGGUUAAUUCGAUUGGGAUUUUUGUGGAAAGUUUUUCGUUAUAUUUCUGGAAAUAGUGAAACACGCAAUUGAAAAAUAAAUUAAAAAACGAUAAAAAAAAGUAACAAGAAUCAGAUUUCUUAGUAUCCGGGGUACGAAUCGCGUCGAGAAAAAAUUUGGAGUCGCGACUGUCACGCGUGCCGGCUAUUGCUGGUUCAGGUCCGCAUAUCAGUUAAUCUUCCAGUCUUUUGAUUUCAAUUCUUCAAGAGGAAUAGUGAUUCAACAGUUUUUUGGUGAUGUCGACCGAAAUUCGAUAGAAGAAAUGGCGAUUGAUGUGGCGAAAAGAAAUGAGGAAACGUCACGUAACAGUGGUGCGCUGCCGGCUAACCUGUCGGUUAUAACCUCUUUCUCGCUGCUCACCGGAAGAGACGAACACGUGCACUUCAGUCAGAUUGUUAAUAGCUGACUCUUGGUCAACGAAGGGAACCAUCAGGUAGCCGAACAAACCUUGAAAAAAAAAUCGACAACAAUAUUUGCAAGAAAAAAAUGUGACACAAACGUUCUUCCGUCGUAAAUAAUAAACGCGCAGUGCCUCUCAACUCGAAUACUUGUAUCGAUGUAACGAAUAAAUUAAUAAACGAAUAAAAAUAAUUAAAGAAGACAAACGAGAAAUUCAUUUCACUGAUCGUAUCUACGUGUGUGUGUGUGUGUGUGUGUGUUUGUAAGCUUAUCUGUAUAACUAUAUUCAUCCACUUCGAACUACCUAUCCUUUUAUGGUAUUUCCUUACAAUACCAUAUGGUUAUGAUAUAUUUAUGAUCAUUUGAAAAGAACGUUCUCUAGAUCUAAAAACAUU
rnacentral:lncRNA from 1 species